rnacentral:rRNA from 1 species
AAUGAACGCUGGCGGCGUGCUUAACACAUGCAAGUCGCACGAGAACGCUUCAGCUUGCUGAAGUAAGUAAAGUGGCGCACGGGUGAGUAACGCGUGGGUAAUCUCCCCCCGAAUUGGGGAUAACCCGCCGAAAGGCGGGCUAAUACCGAAUGACAUCUUGAAAACUUAUGUUUUUAAGAUCAAAGAUGGCCUCUACAUGUAAGCUAUUGUUUGGGGAUGAGCCCGCGUACCAUUAGCUUGUUGGUAGGGUAAUGGCCUACCAAGGCUACGAUGGUUAGCUGGUCUGAGAGGAUGAUCAGCCACACUGGAACUGACACACGGUCCAGACUCCUACGGGAGGCAGCAGUGAGGAAUUUUGCGCAAUGGGGGAAACCCUGACGCAGCAACGCCGCGUGAGUGAUGAAGGCUUUCGGGUCGUAAAGCUCUGU